rnacentral:rRNA from 1 species
AUUGAACGCUGGCGGCAUGCCUUACACAUGCAAGUCGAACGGCAGCACGGGAGCAAUCCUGGUGGCGAGUGGCGAACGGGUGAGUAAUAUAUCGGAACGUGCCCAGUAGUGGGGGAUAGCCCGGCGAAAGCCGGAUUAGUACCGCAUACGACCUGAGGGUGAAAGCGGGGGAUCGCAAGACCUCGCGCUAUUGGAGCGGCCGAUAUCAGAUUAGCUUGUUGGUGGGGUAAAAGCCUACCAAGGCGACGAUCUGUAGCUGGUCUGAAAGGACGACCAGCCACACUGGGACUGAGACACGGCCCAGACUCCUACGGGAGGCAGCAGUGGGGAAUUUUGGACAAUGGGCGCAAGCCUGAUCCAGCCAUGCCGCGUGCGGGAAGAAGGCCUUCGGGUUGUAAACCGCUUUUGUCAGGGAAGAAACGGCUCUUGAUAAUACCGAGAGCUAAUGACGGUACCUGAAGAAUAAGCACCGGCUAACUACGUGCCAGCAGCCGCAGUAA